rnacentral:rRNA from 1 species
UACGUAGGGACCGAGCGUUGUCCGGAAUCAUUGGGCGUAAAGAGCGUGUAGGCGGCCACUUAAGUCCUGCGUGAAAUCUUGCGGCUCAACCGCAAGCGGUCGUGGGAAACUGGGUGGCUAGAGUGCGGGAGAGGAGAGUGGAAUUCCCGGUGUAGUGGUGAAAUGCGUAGAUAUCGGGAGGAAUACCAGUGGCGAAGGCGGCUUCCUGGCCUGUUCUUGACGCUGAGGCGCGAAAGCUAGGGUAGCAAACGGG